GACGAACGCUGGCGGCGUGCUUAACACAUGCAAGUCGAGCGGUAAGGCCCUUUCGGGGGUACACGAGCGGCGAACGGGUGAGUAACACGUGGGUGACCUGCCCUCAGCUCUGGGAUAAGCCUGGGAAACCGGGUCUAAUACCGGAUAUGACUCCAUGACGCAUGUUGUGGGGUGGAAAGCCUUGUGCGGCUGAGGAUGGGCCCGCGGCCUAUCAGCUUGUUGGUGGGGUGAUGGCCUACCAAGGCGACGACGGGUAGCCGGCCUGAGAGGGCGACCGGCCACACUGGGACUGAGACACGGCCCAGACUCCUACGGGAGGCAGCAGUAGGGAAUCUUGCGCAAUGGGCGAAAGCCUGACGCAGCAACGCCGCGUGGGGAUGACGGCCUCGGUU
rnacentral:rRNA from 1 species